GAGGGGAAGCAUAGUCAUCGUCCAUAGAAAAAGAUUUUCCACUUGACAAGGAAAGCAGAAGAACCAUCUUGUCAUUCUUAGGGUUCUUUCUUCAAUCUUAAUAAAUAAAUAAAUAAAGAUUCCAUCAAGUUGAACUCUUUAACUUCCUCAGUAAUACAACCCAAAUUCAGGUACCCAUUUGAGAGUUGAUUAUCAGAUCCAAUUCCCCACUCCAAGAUCUCACCUUUCCCCUCCAUUUUUAACUUCAGUAAGUCUAUGAAUGAAGUUUUGCUGAUUUUGACACCGGCAGCAGGUUGUACUUGUGCUAAGAAGUAUACGUAAAGGGCUAACCUAGGGAAGUUUGUAAUAUUAGAGAGAAGAUGAAAACCGACACACAUCUUGAUUACGCCAUAUUCCAAUUGUCACCAAAACUCUCACGAUGUGAAUUGUUUGUUUCGAGCAAUGGAACACAGAAACGCUUGCUUCUGGGUUGGUGAAGCCAUUUGUUACUCAUUUAAAGUUGGCAGAAGAGCAGUUGCACUGUCACUUCAAUCAAUUAAGC